GACGAACGCUGGCGGCGUGCCUAAUACAUGCAAGUAGAACGCACAGUUUAUACCGUAGCUUGCUACACCAUAGACUGUGAGUUGCGAACGGGUGAGUAACGCGUAGGUAACCUGCCUGGUAGCGGGGGAUAGCUAUUGGAAACGAUAGCUAAUACCGCAUAAUAUUAAUUAUUGCAUGAUAAUUAAUUGAAAGGUGCAAUUGCACCACUACCAGAUGGACCUGCGUUGUAUUAGCUAGUAGGUGAGGUAACGGCUCACCUAGGCGACGAUACAUAGCCGACCUGAGAGGGUGAUCGGCCACACUGGGACUGAGACACGGCCCAGACUCCUACGGGAGGCAGCAGUAGGGAAUCUUCGGCAAUGGACGAAAGUCUGACCGAGCAACGCCGCGUGAGUGAAGAAGGUUUUCGGAUCGUAAAGCUCUGUUGUAAGAGAAGAACGGGUGUGAGAGUGGAAAGUUCACACUGUGACGGUAUCUUACCAGAAAGGGACGGCUAACUACGUG
rnacentral:rRNA from 1 species